ensembl:misc_RNA
ACACAAUCUUAAAAUCUUUCCAUCUUAGAAGAGUCUUUCCAAGUAUUCUUUUGUGUUUUUUUAACCUAUAAAAGAUAAUGGAAUAUAUUUUAUAGACUGGAUUUUAUCUUAUCCCUUUCCCUCUCCCGACUGCACUCAGUUUAAUAGUUGUCAGUUUUUUCUCAGUGUUUUUUCCUUAAGCAUUGGAUUUAAUUAUAUGGGACCAAAAUAUUCCUUAGUAAAUUAGCUUGCUAAAUAUUCUGUCAUUUUGCGAUUAUGCCUUUGAGAAACAGCUUAAUUACAGAAAUCUAUCC